GCCAAAUCACAAUGAUCAAUCAUCAAUAAAGAGGAUAUACAUGACAUUAAAAUAAAUUGAGCCGCAGUCGCCAGUGGGUUAGGCAGAGUACACUCCACUGCACCACUGAGGCGAUGCCAAAUCACAAUGAUCAAUCAUCAAUAAAGAGGAUAUACAUGACAUUAAAAUAAAUUGAGCCGCAGUCGCCAGUGGGUUAGGCAGAGUACACUCCACUGCACCACUGAGGCGAUGCCAAAUCACAAUGAUCAAUCAUCAAUAAAGAGGAUA